UUAUGAACUCUGUGAUUAUGUCUAACAUGGCUAAAAUUACAUAAUAUUAUUUUUGUAAAAGGAUGGAGUUUUAAACACCUAGUGAUUAGAGGCAUUCUUCAGACUACAAGUAAACAGAGACUGCAUACCCACAAAAUAUGUACAAAAGUGAAACAAAUACCUUUUUUUUUAAACAAAGUUAACAUCUGUAGAAAAUUGAUGGACUUGAACAGAGUAGCUACUAACAAAGAAUAAAUGAAAACAUAAGUUACAUGUAGAUAUGUUCUUAUUCAGCUCAUCAUAUUUAUCCCCUGGUGACUUAAAGACAUAAUGGAAGACAAAAUGUUUUAAAAGAGUAAAAAAACCAGAGGUCAAAUACUAAAUAAGAUGGAGUAUAUAUAAAAUAGUAAGAGAAGCUACUAUAAUUAAGCAAACUACAUAACUCUGAAAAAUGUGGAUACUUUCUGCCAUCCUGUUUUACUUUGAUAGUGUUUCCAGAGCCCUAAAUCAAUUAGAUUUAAACAUUUUAUUUUUACCUCAGAGACAGUUCCUUCAUUUGAAUAGACAUUGGGAAGUUAGCUCAGUGAUUAAGAAUCUAAAGAAUGAAAGUAUGAGAGACCGAAUAUUGACUCCCAAGGAUAUCCACUUCUAAUUCCUGGAUCCUGUGAAUGUCACUUUAUACAGCAAAAAAGGACUUUGCAGAUAUGAUUAAAUUAAGAAUUUUGAGAUGGGGAGGUUAUCCUGGGUUAUCUGGGCAGACCCUAAUUUAAUCACAUUUUUCUCAUAAGAGUGACAGAGGGAUAUUGACACAGAAGAGGAGAAAGCAGCGUGACCACUGAGGCAGAGAACGGUGUGAAGGGGGGCCACAAGCCAAGGAAUGCCAACGGCUAGUAGAGCUGGAAGAGGCAAAGAAUAGGUUUCUUCCUUGAACGUCAGGAGGAAUGCGGCCUUAGUGACACCUUGGUUUUGAUGUGGGGAAACAGAUUUCAGACCAAGGCUUCUGACCUUCAAAAAAUGUAAAUGGGUAUUGUUAAGACAGCCUUGGAAAACUAAUAUACUAACCAAGCAAGAUAAGGAUAUAGUCACCCUUACUAUUUCCUUAAUACCACCUCUGUUUCCUGAAUUGCGGUUUUUAUCAGCCGUGCAUUUACUUUCACAUUUUCAAGGUUAAUGAUGUUUAUAUUCUGUUCUAUCCCAGUACUAGAGGCGUUGCAUGAGAAUGGGGUCUGUAGCAGGUUGGGCACAUUUGAACCUGGUCCUACUUAACAUCAGCAUAUUAAGUUUGGGCCCCAUGUGAUAACUUCUGGACUAUCUGAAGGAAAAUGUUCUUAGCAUCAAGAUCAAGUGGAUACUGUUUUUUUUUCUUAUAUAUACAUCAUCAGUUUCUCAAAAUUUGUCGUAUUUUACUUUACUUUGUAUUGGACAAUGGCUUUCUUAUUAUUCAUUUUCUCAUCUUUGAUAAAAAAUUAUUUUUCACAAUACCUCAAAAUGACCCAGUAUUUUAAUAAGUCAAAAAAUUUGAUAAAAAUCUACUUUCUCUUCAGCGGUAUUUCUCAGCUCUAAUCUGGACUACUUCUUAAAGCUGUGAAAUAAUGGUCCAACUGGGGUUUUAUGGUAAAUACUUGAACACUUUUUUUUUCUAUUUGUCAGUAAAAAUAAACCAAAAAUAGCACAUAAAGUACA